rnacentral:rRNA from 1 species
AGGAUGAACGCUGGCGGCGUGCUUAACACAUGCAAGUCGAACGAUGAAGGCUGGAGCUUGCUCUGGCUGGAUUAGUGGCGAACGGGUGAGUAACACGUGAGUAACCUGCCCCCGACUCUGGGAUAAGCGCUGGAAACGGCGUCUAAUACCGGAUACGAGCUUCCGCCGCAUGGUGAGGAGCUGGAAAGAAUUUCGGCUGGGAUGGACUCGCGGCCUAUCAGCUUGUUGGUGAGGUAAUGGCUCACCAAGGCGACGACGGGUAGCCGGCCUGAGAGGGUGACCGACCACACUGGGACUGAGACACGGCCCAGACU